rnacentral:rRNA from 2 species
AGAGUUUGAUCCUGGCUCAGGAUGAACGCUGGCGGCGUGCCUAAUACAUGCAAGUCGAGCGAACGGACGAGAAGCUUGCUUCUCUGAUGUUAGCGGCGGACGGGUGAGUAACACGUGGAUAACCUACCUAUAAGACUGGGAUAACUUCGGGAAACCGGAGCUAAUACCGGAUAAUAUUUUGAACCGCAUGGUUCAAAAGUGAAAGACGGUCUUGCUGUCACUUAUAGAUGGAUCCGCGCUGCAUUAGCUAGUUGGUAAGGUAACGGCUUACCAAGGCAACGAUGCAUAGCCGACCUGAGAGGGUGAUCGGCCACACUGGAACUGAGACACGGUCCAGACUCCUACGGGAGGCAGCAGUAGGGAAUCUUCCGCAAUGGGCGAAAGCCUGACGGAGCAACGCCGCGUGAGUGAUGAAGGUCUUCGGAUCGUAAAACUCUGUUAUUAGGGAAGAACAUAUGUGUAAGUAACUGUGCACAUCUUGACGGUACCUAAUCAGAAAGCCACGGCUAACUACGUGCCAGCAGCCGCGGUAAUACGUAGGUGGCAAGCGUUAUCCGGAAUUAUUGGGCGUAAAGCGCGCGUAGGCGGUUUUUUAAGUCUGAUGUGAAAGCCCACGGCUCAACCGUGGAGGGUCAUUGGAAACUGGAAAACUUGAGUGCAGAAGAGGAAAGUGGAAUUCCAUGUGUAGCGGUGAAAUGCGCAGAGAUAUGGAGGAACACCAGUGGCGAAGGCGACUUUCUGGUCUGUAACUGACGCUGAUGUGCGAAAGCGUGGGGAUCAAACAGGAUUAGAUACCCUGGUAGUCCACGCCGUAAACGAUGAGUGCUAAGUGUUAGGGGGUUUCCGCCCCUUAGUGCUGCAGCUAACGCAUUAAGCACUCCGCCUGGGGAGUACGACCGCAAGGUUGAAACUCAAAGGAAUUGACGGGGACCCGCACAAGCGGUGGAGCAUGUGGUUUAAUUCGAAGCAACGCGAAGAACCUUACCAAAUCUUGACAUCCUUUGACAACUCUAGAGAUAGAGCCUUCCCCUUCGGGGGACAAAGUGACAGGUGGUGCAUGGUUGUCGUCAGCUCGUGUCGUGAGAUGUUGGGUUAAGUCCCGCAACGAGCGCAACCCUUAAGCUUAGUUGCCAUCAUUAAGUUGGGCACUCUAAGUUGACUGCCGGUGACAAACCGGAGGAAGGUGGGGAUGACGUCAAAUCAUCAUGCCCCUUAUGAUUUGGGCUACACACGUGCUACAAUGGACAAUACAAAGGG